CUUUGAUAACUGGAAUGUGUACGAAGUCUUGAACCCAUUCAUGAAGGGAUGGGACCCUGUCUUUAUCAAACACCUUCAUUUCUCCAACUUCAUCAAGAACACUGAGCCAGUGGCACAUCCACCCUGCAGCUAAAUCCAGCCUCCACAGCCUUCUCCUUCUCUUCUCCUUCAGCCUGGCAUGCUUCCCAGGCACCCAGCAGGCCCUGCAUUCACAAAAACAUGAAGCGAGCCAUGGCUCUGUUAUAUGGAUCUUCAGGCAUGAGCGGGUUGUCCUUCCACGUCUCGUCGAUGUAUUCGAGGAUGAGAAGCGACUCGGAGAUGGGUUUGCCAUGGUGCAAGAGCACAGGUAUUUUUUUGUGCACAGGGUUGGACUUGAGAAGCAGCUCACUUUUGUUUCUCACGUCUUCAGGUAUGUACUCAUACUCAAUUCCUUUGAGCUUCAAGGCCCAUUCAACCCUUACAGAGAAGAGGCUUGCAGCUGACCCAAUAAUCUUUACCUCUGCCAUUGUCUGUUGUUGAUCCUUGCAUAUUGUCUCAAAGUCAUAGCCUUUUAUAGUCUCUAUGUUGCUUCUGGGUGAUUAUUAUUUGUCUAAAAUUUACCUUUCAAAUGUAGGAAAUGGCAGCUUUGACAAGGAGCUUGAGUCUAAGGAAAGCGCUAAUGAAUUCUUCAAGUGGGUUCCCAUUCUCCUAGUGUUCUAGCAGGAAGAGGUUUCCAUACCCUUAUAAGGAAUGCUUUGUUUCUCUCUCCAACUGACGUGAG